rnacentral:rRNA from 2 species
GGAAAUUUGAGAGGAGCUGUCCUUAGUACGAGAGGACCGGGAUGGACAUACCUCUGGUGUACCAGUUGUCGUGCCAACGGCAUAGCUGGGUAGCUAUGUGUGGACGGGAUAAGUGCUGAAAGCAUCUAAGCAUGAAGCCCCCCUCAAGAUGAGAUUUCCCAACUUCGGUUAUAAGAUCCCUCAAAGAUGAUGAGGUUAAUAGGUUCGAGGUGGAAGCAUGGUGACAUGUGGAGCUGACGAAUACUAAUCGAUCGAAGACUUAAUCAA